rnacentral:rRNA from 1 species
UACGUAGGGUGCAAGCGUUAAUCGGAAUUAUUGGGCGUAAAAGGGCGCGUAGGCGGUCGUGACAAGUCACUUGUGAAAUCUCCGGGCUUAACUCGGAAACGGUCAAGUGAUACUGUCGGACUAGAGUACAAGAAGGGGGGCAACUGGAAUUCUCGGUGUAGCGGUGAAAAUGCGUAGAUAUCGAAGAGGGAACACCCUGCGGC